rnacentral:misc_RNA from 1 species
GGGGUAAGCAUUUAGAAUUUGCUGUAAAACAUCUUUUUGAAGCUGAAUAUAAACUUUGUAAUGAUGUGUUUGAGAGAAUCGGGUUGGAUGUGUGGAUGAGCUGUUUCGCUAAGAUAGCUGCCCAAGCAGGCAUUCUUGCAUUCCUUCAAUUUGGAAAAACAGUGACAGAGAGUAAGAAGGAUCCUAUCAAGCUGUUGAAGCUGUUGGACAUAUUUGCAUCUUUAAACAAGU